CAAAGAUUACCAUGGCAACUGAAUUACUGCAUGACUAAAGGAAGUGUGUCUAGUGAAGUUUUUUCAGCCUAUGUUGUUUGCAUGAUACAUGGUCACCACUCCUGAAGAAUACUUUUGCUCCUGCUGAGUCAUCCCGCCUGCACCUUCCAUCCUUGCGGGAAAAGCCAUGUUGUCUGGUUCGCGAUAAAUGAAGGGCUUCUCUUGUUGGGCUCCUCAGCUCAUAAUGAGGAUUCCCAGCAGGACUGGAUGGAUCUGAAGUAAUGUGAGCCUGCUGUCCCACAGAUGUCUUUAAUAAUACAUGACAAAGAAGGCAGAGGAGCUCCGAGUGAAGCAAGGUGGGGAAGAAUGAGAACUAGAGCUCAGCCGCAAGAGUUGUGUGUGCCAGGAGGGAGAUGGACCAGAAAUGAACCGGCAUUUACUGGGGAAUCCAAAGACUUAUGACAUCAAUAACUUGCAUGUAUUUCUUCAUGUAGUUCUCAUCCUAUCCAUUUGAUAUUUGAAUUCCCCUUUCACAAAUAAGUUAAAGAAAUUGAAUGAUUCAUCAGUGGUCACGAAGGUAAUAACUGGGAAAACUGGCACUUGAACCUGAGACUGCAGCUUCAAGACCAAGUACCUUUCUUCUGUAUCAAUCAGAUUCCUAUCCCCGAGGCUCUCCUAUAUAGCAACUCUGGAGCUUGAAUUCCUUUUCCAUUUUCCCUCCUGAAUCCCAAACCCUCUCUUUGCUAUAUAUAUAUAUACCACUGGAAUAACUUGAAAGUAAAGAUUUUAUGUAGCAAACAAUGUCCUCUACAUGUGUGUUUGGCAAUCAUCCUUAGCCUCAUGAGUAUAUAUAAUCUUGUCUUAUCCUCAUGAGUAUUUCUCAGUAACAUUUUGAUGGAUGCAAGAGCUGACAUGGCAGAAGCAGUUGUCUGUUAUGUUGUCUCCAAUGACACAUGGCAAUCUUCCUCCUUAAUUAGGAACAGGAUGUAUGCAUGAUUUAUAUCUGCAAGCUAUGACUCUCCAAGAGGGAAGUCUCAGUUGUUAGUAUUUGAAAUAUCCUCUAUAAAUCCUAAAGUUAGUACAACAGAAUGUGAAUGGCAUAAUGGCAGAUACAUCAGAUUUUGCCUGACAUAUUAAAAAGAAUAAAAGUUCUUACUACCCUACAACCUGUUUAUGUAUGAAAUAAAUGUGCCAAUAUAUAGCAUCUAGAGAUGUCUAGAAUCAUAGAAUUUGAAAGUUUUAAUGAUCUCUGUUGAAGUUUGAGGUCAGUGUCUUUGUGCUUGAAGGAUAUUUUCUAAUGGAUUGGGGGUGGUAGUGCUAAAAGGAACAUGAAUCAUGCAUGAAUAAGGA
rnacentral:lncRNA from 1 species